GGGCCAGUAGCUCAGUGGUAGAGCAGGGGACUUUUAAUCCUCGUGUCGUAGGUUCGAUCCCUACCUGGCUCACCC
rnacentral:tRNA from 1 species